rnacentral:lncRNA from 1 species
UAUCCACGGAGAUGCUGUGAUAAUUAAACUACUUGAAAAAAAAAAGAGAGCCAUGGGAUUUUUACUUCCUGACUGGCCCGACAUGCUGCCGUCAUUGAGCAAUUUAAUGGGAGCAAUUUAAGGGAAAAAGAUGCUGUCUAAAACCUUCAACAGUCAAAGCAGGAUUGAACGCCCUGGAGCUCAGAGAGGAAGGAGAGCAUCGGAGGGGGUGGAAAG